UGCGUAGGCGGAAGAGCAAGUCAGUAGUGAAAAUCCCAUGGGCUUAACCCCGUGAACUGCUAUUGAAACUGUUCUUCUUGAGUGAAGUAGAGGUAGGCGGAAUUCCCGGUGUAGCGGUGAAAUGCGUAGAGAUCGGGAGGAACACCAGUGGCGAAGGCGGCCUACUGGGCUUUAACUGACGCUGAGGCACGAAAGCAUGGGUAGCAAACA
rnacentral:rRNA from 1 species